rnacentral:rRNA from 1 species
AGCGUAGGCGGGCCGCCAAGCGUUCUGUGCAAUCCCGGGGCCCAACCCCGGACCCGCAGAGCGAACUGGCGUCCUUGAGUGGUUCAGAGGCCGGCGGAAUUCCUGGUGUAGCGGUGGAAUGCGUAGAUAUCAGGAAGAACACCGAUGGCGAAGGCAGCCGGCUGGGGACCCACUGACGCUGAGGCUCGAAAGCGUGGGAAGCAAACA